rnacentral:rRNA from 1 species
AUUGAACGCUGGCGGAAUGCUUUACACAUGCAAGUCGAACGGCAGCACGGAUUUCGGUCUGGUGGCGAGUGGCGAACGGGUGAGUAAUACAUCGGAACGUGCCCAGUCGUGGGGGAUAACGUAGCGAAAGCUACGCUAAUACCGCAUACGAUCUAAGGAUGAAAGCGGGGGAUCGCAAGACCUCGCGCGAUUGGAGCGGCCGAUGGCAGAUUAGGUAGUUGGUAGGGUAAAGGCCUACCAAGCCGACGAUCUGUAGCUGGUCUGAGAGGAUGAGCAGCCACACUGGGACUGAGACACGGCCCAGACUCCUACGGGAGGCAGCAGUGGGGAAUUUUGGACAAUGGGCGCAAGCCUGAUCCAGCCAUUCCGCGUGCAGGAUGAAGGCCUUCGGGUUGUAAACUGCUUUUGUACAGAACGAAAAGGCUCUGGUUAAUACCCGGGGCUCAUGACGGUACUGUAAGAAUAAGCACCGGCUAACUACGUGCCAGCAGCCGCCGUAA